ACAACUGGACUAAACAGACUCAAUAAACAUUAUUCAAAAGCUUAGAAAAAGGGUCCUAACAGUUCCUCCCUCUUCAAAUCAACCUUGUCCUCAAGGCUGAGCAGCAUCAAUCUCAGGGAGCUUCUCUUUCAGCACUUUAGCCAUAGACUAUCUGCAACGCAUCACAACCUGUUGAUCAAGUAAGUAUGGUCUCCACUUUUUGAGAGUGUAAGCAACAGGUCGAUCUUGCAGUGUAGUAAUUGUUGCAUGAAAC
rnacentral:lncRNA from 1 species